AGCGAACGCUGGCGGCAGGCCUAACACAUGCAAGUCGAACGAACUCUUCGGAGUUAGUGGCGGACGGGUGAGUAACACGUGGGAACGUGCCUUUUGGUUCGGAAUAACUCAGGGAAACUUGUGCUAAUACCGAAUGUGCCCUUCGGGGGGAAGAUUUAUCGCCAUUAGAGCGGCCCGCGUCUGAUUAGCUAGUUGGUGAGGUAACGGCUCACCAAGGCGACGAUCAGUAGCUGGUCUGAGAGGAUGACCAGCCACACUGGGACUGAGACACGGCCCAGACUCCUACGGGAGGCAGCAGUGGGGAAUCUUGCGCAAUGGGCGAAAGCCUGACGCAGCCAUGCCGCGUGAAUGAUGAAGGUCUUAGGAUUGUAAAAUUCUUUCACCGGGGACGAUAAUGACGGUACCCGGAGAAGAAGCCCCGGCUAACUUUGUG
rnacentral:rRNA from 1 species